UGGGGAAUUUUGGACAAUGGGGGAAACCCUGAUCCAGCCAUCCCGCGUGUGCGAUGAAGGCCUUCGGGUUGUUAAAGCACUUUUGGCAGGAAAGAAACGUCAUGGGUUAAUACCCCGUGAAACUGACGGUACCUGCAGAAUAAGCACCGGCUAACUACGUGCCAGCAGCCGCGGUAAUACGUAGGGUGCAAGCGUUAAUCGGAAUUACUGGGCGUAAAGCGUGCGCAGGCGGUUCGGAAAGAAAGAUGUGAAAUCCCAGAGCUCAACUUUGGAACUGCAUUUUUAACUACCGGGCUAGAGUGUGUCAGAGGGAGGUGGAAUUCCGCGUGUAGCAGUGAAAUGCGUAGAUAUGCGGAGGAACACCGAUGGCGAAGGCAGCCUCCUGGGAUAACACUGACGCUCAUGCACGAAAGCGUGGGGAGCAAACAGG
rnacentral:rRNA from 1 species